CCAGCAGCCGCGGUAAUUCCAGCUCCAAUAGCGUAUAUUAAAGUUGUUGCAGUUAAAAAGCUCGUAGUUGAACCUUGGGCCUGGCUGGCCGGUCCGCCUCACCGCGUGUACUGGUCCGGCCGGGCCUUCCUUCUGGAGAUCCUCAUGCCCUUCACUGGGUGUGUGGGGACCAGGACUUUUACUGUGAACAAAUUAGAGUGUUCAAAGCAGGCUUUGCUCGAAUACAUUAGCAUGGAAUAAUAGAAUAGGACGUGCGGUCCUAUUUUGUUGGUUUCUAGGACCGCCGUAAUGAUUAAUAGGGAUAGUCGGGGGCAUCAGUAUUCAAUUGUCAGAGGUGAAAUUCUUGGAUUUAUUGAAGACUAACUACUGCGAAAGCAUUUGCCAAGGAUGUUUUCAUUAAUCAGGAACGAAAGUUAGGGGAUCGAAGACGAUCAGAUACCGUCGUAGUCUUAACCGUAAACUAUGCCGACUAGGGAUCGGGCGAUGUU
rnacentral:rRNA from 1 species